AUUGAACGCUGGCGGCAGGCCUAACACAUGCAAGUCGAACGAGUGGCGGACGGGUGAGUAAUGUCUGGGAAACUGCCUGAUGGAGGGGGAUAACUACUGGAAACGGUAGCUAAUACCGCAUACCAUCGGAUGUGCCCAGAUGGGAUUAGCUUGUUGGUGGGGUAACGGCUCACAAAGGCGACGAUCCCUAGCUGCGCUAAGAGGAUGACCAGCCACACUGGAACUGAGAGACGGUCCAGACUCCUACGGGAUGCAGCAGGGGGGAAUAUUGCACAAUGGGCGCAAGCCUGAUGCAGCCAUGCCGCGUGUAUGAAGAAGGCCUUCGGGUUGUAAAGUACUUUCAGCGGGGAGGAGUUACCCGCAGAAGAAGCACCGGCUAACUCCGUGCCAGCAGCCGCGGUAAUAC
rnacentral:rRNA from 1 species